UUCCAGGUGAAAUGGGUGAUAAAGGAGUAAAAGGAGGCAUAGGACGUCAUGGGAAGAUUGGCCCUAUUGGUUCUAAAGGUGACAAGGGAGAUGUUGGUGAUAUGGGUCUUCCGGGUCCUAAUGGAGAACCAGGUAUUCCAUGUGAAUGUGGACAUUUGAGGAAAGCUGUUGGUGAGAUGGACAUCCUGGUGACACAGCUGACCACAGAGCUAAAGUUUGUCAAAAAUGGUAUGUGUU